CAGAUACUGAAACAGUAGGAGGAACACAGCUCUUAAGAAAACCAUAUCAAGCUGAAGAAGAAUACUAUUACAAUGGAAAUUGGUCUAAGGACGGAGUGUUUGUUUCCUGGGAAAAUUUUCAGAGCCUUCUCAUUUUCCUUCACAGAUGUGGAUCAUCAUGCUUUUCUCAGGUGAAUUCAUGCUUCAAAAUCACUUUCUUCAUUAGGCCCAACUCCAAAGGCCUCAAUGAUCUUCUCAAACAAUGCUGUCGUCGUUAGAGUUGGACAAGUUUUGCCAUAUUUGCAGAUUGUAAUUUAUAUAGCAAUUUUUUUUUGUGUGCAUAGACAUUUUUACGCAAUUCUCUCUUUAAUCACUCAUUUACGUUAACCUUU